GACGAACGCUGGCGGCGUGCCUAAUACAUGCAAGUCGAACGCAGUGGGGACGGGUGAGUAACACGUGGGUAACCUCCCAUCAGAGGGGAUAACACUUGGAAACAGGUGCUAAACCGAUACUGAUGGAUGGACCCGCGGUGCACUAGCUAGUUGGUGAGGUAACGGCUCACCAAGGCCACGCUGCAUAUCCGGCCUGAGAGGGUGAGCGGCAACACUGGGACUGAGACACUGCCCAGACGCCUGCGGGAGGCAGCAGUAGGGAAGCUUCGGCAAUGGACGAAAAUCAGGCCGAGCAACGCCGCGAGAGUGAAGAAGGUUUUCGGAUCGUAAGACUCUGUUGUUAGAGAAGCGGUAUCUAACCAGAAAGCCACGGCUAACUGCGUGCCAGCCGCCGCGGUAAUAC
rnacentral:rRNA from 1 species